rnacentral:lncRNA from 1 species
CUUGGCACAUGUUAAUAGUUUCAGCACUUGAGCAGCUGAGGUAGGAGGACUGGGAGUGUAGGACCAGCUUGGGCUACAUUAUGACCUUGUCUCAAAAGAAGCUAACAAACAGAACCUUAAACGACAUGGGUGGGGAGGCAGGGGGAAUAGAUGGUCAAAACUGCAAUCAAAGAAUCAAAGGUACCGUGGAAGUGAAAUUAUGGAGAAAUGACAGUGUAGAUGGUGGCAUCACUGAUCUGGAGGGCAGUUCUCAGGAAGUAAAGAAUGUGGUAUGAGAACUGAAAGGGAGACUAAUGACUGAGAAAACUGACAAACACUGACGGGUAAAGAGAAUAGGAGGUCACACUUUAGAUGUGCCACAUUGCUAAGGUACAGAAAUAGCCGGUGAUAACUUUAGAAAAUUAAGUAUUUUGAGAAAAUUAAGUAUUUCUAAGCUGCAGAGAGGAGAGAAUGGAUUGAUGGGCUCCUGUUCCUGAGGUAAAUCACUUCAAACAGACGUUCUCAGCCUGUGGGUUUUGACCCUAAGAGCCACAACCACUUUCAAAGGCAUGUGCCUAUUGAGUAUUAAAAUUAUGAUUUAUGGUAGCAAAAUUCCAGUUGUGAAGCAGCUAAGAAAAUAAUGUUAUGGUUAGGAAAUCAACCUAACAUGAGGAACUGUAUUAACAGGUUGCUGCAUUAAGAAGGCUGAGAACCACUGACUUAAAAAGACCUAAAUCUAGACACACACGGACAUCUGAGGGUUACAAACAAAUAUAGACACCAAGCAGCGCUGUGAAGUAACCCCCACACUCCUAAGACACCCAUGGAAGAGCAAAGGUCAGACUGACUUCCGGUCUGCAAUGGAGAGAGUACCACAUACCAGAAUUUAUACACAGCCCAGGAGACUUUCUUGGUUACACAAGCUGGCUUCCUGAUACUCCCCAGUUUUCUGAGGACGUCUCCUCCGUGUUAUGAAAUACAACCGUGAGACUGAAAAAAUAAACUGCCAGGUUGGGAUCUCAGAUGUCCGCCACACACCACCUUACAGCCUCACCCUCAACAGGUAAGAAAACAGAGAACAUAAGCAAGUUAUGUAAGGCCACACACAGCAAUCAGCAAAUGGCUGAGUUCUGAAUCAAAAUCAAAUCUAUGUGACUCCAAAGCCACCACAUCAGCUGUGGCUCAAAGCAACCAGAUGAAAAAGGCUGAUAGCCCCGCCUCCAGGACUCUUCAUGUUGCCUCUAUGGGGUUGCUGCUGAAUUGAAUCUGAGAGCCUUUCAGGCCUCCAGCAGAAUAAAUGCUGGGUUUUGCAAACACGGGCCUUAAUUGGAUUUGACUGCCAGGACAACCAUCUCAUUCACAGGUGGGCUGCGCUUUGGGGAAGAUUGAGUUACAGGGCUGCUGGCUUCGGCAGGAAGAGGGGUCAGCAGCCUCUGGGGGCGGCUAAAGCAAACCCUGGGAAGGAAGUGUGGGCAGGUGGAGGAGAAACCCUAGGGCCAAAGACAGGGGAAAGACGCAGAUGGUAGGAGGGUGAGGUUCUGAGGUCUGUGCUGGGCAAAAGGGAAAGGCCACACAAUAGAUGGACCGAUGCCAAAUAGAACAGAUCUUGGGAGGAAGGCAGGCUUGGAAGCAGUCCUCCUCCCCCGGACAAUUAGCAAAUAUCUCCAGCACCUUGACAGUAUAAAAAAAACAAAACAGCUUGCCCUAAAUACCCAGUGGGGUGGGGGUAUUCUGCAGUAAACCGAGCAGGGACUCCUUUGAUUCCAAACUGCUUUUGGGACAGUUGUCCAGGGUGCAGGAUAGCCUUAAGGUCAGAGCGGUGCUGGUGUCUUCUGGCUUUGUGGCAAGUGAGGGCUAAGAAUAUCACAGAGGCUGUGUGGGUUGUGGCAGGGAGGAAAGACGCUUGGAUGACUGAGCCCCAGUUUGUCAUCUCAGAGCUGGCCUUUGUCACAUGGUGUGAUACCUGAGUUACCACUACAUGGUGACAGAGGUGGUAUGACAGCCAGUCAGAAGAUGACUUGUGGGAGCUCCUCCCACCAUGUGAGUCCCAGACCAGACUUGGGUAACAUUGAGGCGUCUGGGGUGAACGCGUGUCCCACUGACUUUCCCACCCUGAGCACAUGAGACAGCUUCAGCACACACAGUGUUUCUUCCAGUAUCCAUUCCAUGCUGAAAGCAUCGCACCAAAGCGAACAUUAACUUUCAUCACAAUUUAUUCUAGCUUGAAUCUGAAUUGAGGAGACCAUCCGGAAUUUCUGUGAAUAAGAGGCCCUGUUACAAAGACAAGAAAUACAAUUUUCAAGGCUCCUAAAUCUACUGGAAAGUGACAGGAUUAGGCUUAUAGGGGCCUGAGGGGAAAUUCUUUUAUUUUUUUAAGGGGUCAGGGAAGGGUAUUGAGACAGAAUCUCAGAUUCUUGAAAUGUAGUGUAGGCUGGCCUUGAACCUUCGGUCCUCCUGUCUUAGUCGCCUAAGUGCUGGGGUUACAGGUGUGUACCAUUAUGCCUGACCAUUGGAAGGCAGUUUAUGGGGGUCCCUCCUACCAUGUGGGUUCCAGACUUCCAGUCUUGGCAACAGGCACUUUACUUACUGAGUCAUCUGGAGGUAAGGAUUCUUAAUGGAAUGUAUUCCUCCUGCCUAUCAAGUCCCAGCUAGCUGAAGAGGGAUGGAGUCACCUUUCUUGUAGAAAAGGCCACCCGGUCUUAGUCCUAAGAUCUGGAUACAGGCUGUGACUAACUUUACAAGAGAGUUAAAUACUCACUAUGUAGACCAGGCUAGCGUCUCACUCAGAGCCUCAAGGAUCACCAGGUCUUACUGUCCCUGCCCCC